UUUAAGUGUUAAUAUAAAAACUAAAUUAGUAACAGUUAUGUUCUUGAAAAUUAAAGAUUUUGGCGGUAUUUUAGUCUAUUCAGAGGAACCUGUCCUAUAAUUGAUAGUCCACGAUUUAUAUUACUUAAUUUUAAAAGCUUGUAUAUCGUUGUUUAUAGAAAAUUUUAUAAGAAUAAUAAUUUUUAAUAAAUUUAAUUAAAUUAUAAAUCAAAUCAAGGUGCAGUUUAUAGUUAAGGAGAGAUGGGUUACAAUAAAUUUAUUUAUUUAAAUGAAUUUUUAAUUUAAAUAUUAAAAUGAAGGUGGAUUUGAUAGUAAUAUUAUUUAAUUAAAUAAUAUGAUUAUAGCUCUAAAGUAUGU
rnacentral:rRNA from 1 species